GACACAGGCCACCUCUACGCUUGACUAAAGAGAGGGACACUUCGAUGGAUCCUUAUGAACAAACAAGAAAAACAUGAAGCAUUAUUUGGAUCAGCUCUUGAGCAUCCUGUUCUUGUUAUCUGAUCUGAAACUGCUGGACCAUGAGAGACUGGGCAGCUCCUACAGCCCUAGCUUACUGUCUCCAACAGGAAUGCCACCAAAUGGUGUUUUAAAUGGCAAUAUCUAAUAGUUCUUAAUCAAGCUGAGGGGCAUUUAAUGCAAUCAUAAUAGGAUCAAAACAGGUUUCAAAGUGUUCUGAGAGGUUUUCCUAUGUAUUUUAAAGUUUAUAUUUAUGUAGAGUUUAUUCUUGCUAUGACAGGUCUCUAAAAGAACUGUUUUUUAAAAAUAAGAAAGCUUAGUUUUAAACAACUAUUUUGGAUUCACCAAAACACAUUCCGAUCAAGAUUAGCAUGCAGUAACAAUGGGUUUCUUGUCAUAGCCUUAAUAUGCCACACUCUGUUAUUCAGAUUUUCACGUUUCGGAAGGAAAAAUCCUGCAGAGAUUUGGUAUCGUAUGAAACAUUCAAAGCUUUAUGUUGAAAAAGAACAACAGUUCUCAGUCUGUUAACCUAAGACUCGCUGUUGGGGAGGCCUGCAGGCUCAGUGCUGUGUUCUGUGCUAACCUAACAGGCAGCGAGCAUUUCCCGUCAGGAGCCGUGUGACCGGGCACAUGACUGAUUCCACAAACGACCCACUCUCAGCAAAGCUCACACAUCAUCGAAGAGGAAAAAAUAGUCCGGGUGGAGCCCACAACAAACAAGAACAUGAUACUGGACAGUAGGGAAGGGAAGUACAUUAAGGAAGAACUAAAACUGCUCUUCUGCACAUAAAUGCAAGGCUUUGAGGAAGUGCGCCUGCCUGACCCCUGCAAGUCCCCCUAGGAGGAAGGCCACAGUGCAAAAUGUCAGAUAAGUAGGGUUUGGGGAGGGAGAUGAAAGAGGUGGAGGGUUUGUGUGGCACUUCAACAAGUAUUUCCUUACAACUGGUGAAGUUUCCCAAGAGCAACGCAACACGGGCUGUGAGCCUUCACAUGGCAUGCGGAGCAAACGCUGUCUGCCAUUUAGUGUCUGAAUUGUUUUGCUGUUGUCCUUCAGUGAUUCCUGAGUGUGUUCCAAAUUAUGUUGCUAGCUUGGCUUAGACAAAAGAAGACAAUUUAAUAAGAAACAAAUGUUGGACACUUCAUGUUAUAUCACCAUCUGGCCUAACAGAAAUAUUCACGUUUAAAAUGUAUAUUUCAUCAUUUGCCAUCUGGGUAAUCUGUUACACAUUUUAUGGGAAAUCUGAAGUUGGACAAUUAACUCAUACCACUUUAAAACAAACAUCUUUGUACCAGGAUAAACAAAGAAUAAAAGCCACCAGCAUAGAAUCCAUGCUAAACAUGUCUUUUGCAAGCCAAUUUUUAGUGCCUUAAACAAACCAGCAUUUAUCAUGCUCAGAUGAUCAAAAAAAAAUCAGAAAAGGUAAAAGCAAAGAUAACAUGAUCCCUGUCCUAAAUUAAAAUUAUUCAAUAAACUGAGACUCUGGAAAAGUAUUUGAAAUAAAAAAUAAAAUAAUUUCUUUUACACACUCAAAUGUAUAGAUGAUACUUGCACUUCUCAACAUUUACUCUUUCCCCCUUCCCUCUCCCACCCUCUAUUUUGCCCAGAAAGUGACAGAAAGGCGGUGGGAGGUUUCCUUCUAAAGAUAAAUUUCACCAAUAAACUGUUAAAAAGUAAAUUGUACAUAUUAUUAACUUUGUAAACAGAAAAUGGAAACUGAUCCUUGUUUCUAAUUUUACAAUAAGGUUAAGAUGUCUUAAGUUAUUUCUUUAUAAAACCAUGUAUUUCCAUUAAUAAUAAAUCUUAUUUUAAAGUUUA